rnacentral:lncRNA from 7 species
AAUGUAACAUUACCUGAAUCUUGCCCUGCAAGGAGUCAGGAUUAUGUAUUAUCCUUUAUUUUGCUGUUCUGAAAAGCAGGGGGUAGAAGACCUAGAGCCAACGCAACAUGCACUAUGCAGCAGUUUCCACAUCUCUAGGAUCAGAAAGUUUAAUUUUGAUGGAAGACUCAAAUACAAACCAAGGAAUGAACUUAUAUACAUUGCAUGGGAACAAAACCUCAGAUAUACUCUUCUCAUUUCAUGCAGUAAUCUCCUGAUAAUACCACCGGGAGCUUUGUGAAACAACAGGAGCAGCGUAACGCCUUCAGGGAGCAAAGGACUGGCAACUCUCUAAAGGAAUGUCAGACCUUCAUGGUUAACUCCCUUUCUGUAAGCAGCUCCUGAUGCAGCCUCAUCCUCUUCUGAGUGGUUGCAGGAUACCUGCGUAAAGAAGAGGCUGCUGACACUGCAGAGAGAUGAAGCCCUGACUCACACAGAAGAGAGAUGGAGCACUUCAUGGCUGCUCUAGAUCACGUGGUGCUGAAUUACGUAUGCAAAUCCAUAUUUCUGUCUAAAAAAUAGACAUACGCAAGAGCAGCAGGGAGUAUGCUGUGCACAGAUGUUCCAAACAUGGACGAAUGCAUGUGUUGUUCAAACAACCACCACAAGAGUAUCAUACAGUUAAUGAGUGCAAAUAUGAACGUCACGUGCUUCAAGGGCACACUGAGGUCAUCACAGCACUCAGUACAGCAAACAAAUACUGGCCCCUCCUUUGGGGCUUUGAGGUGUCAAACAGCCCCCACAAAAAUCUACAACACUGAAAGGGCCACCUGACCAUGGAUGGAUUGCACUGAGGAAAAUACAGGAGAGGAGAGAAGUUCUCUGCAUUUGCUCUGUUCCAUGAAAAGUUUACACGCAAACAUCAGGUCAUUUCCUACACCAUCCAUUAGUCUGGAUUCAAGUCUGCUUGAGUGGAUGGGCUCGAGUGUUUUAAAAAGUGGCUACAGUGCAGGAUAUUUCUGCUUUGCUAAUCACAAAGGCACAACGUACACUUUUUCAGUUCCAGAAAGGCACAGCAAGACAAACGUUUUUCGACAGUGACAAAGAAGUCUGAACACUCAUGGACUCAGCUCUCGAAACUGAUAUUAACAACUUACCUACUAGUCAGCUACUACAACACUGUUAAACAAAGACAGCUGAGAUAUCACAAUGUCAUUUAAGUACUUACAGGACAGCAGUACCACCAUAAUAUAAAAGAUAUUAGUAAAAAUAGAUAAUGUUAGAAUGGGAAUGUGUUUAAGAUAUCUUUCUGUAAUAAGCACUUGCCUAAAACAACUCUGUAGGAAAGCGCUCUGAAGUGUACCUGCCAAAGCUCAGCUGCUGAAAUUUGCAAGCUGCAGAGAAGAAAGUGUGUUAUUACAGAGACUGCAUUAACAAGCCAUAUAAAAUGUAAAAUUACUUC